UCUGAUUCUGUUACCGAGGAGCUAUGUGACCUGGAGAAAUCCCUUCCCCCUCUCUGGGCCUCCAUCACCUCAUCCGUGGACCACCCUCCCCUGACAGCUCUGCUCUCCAGGCAGGACCCUGUUUACUCCUUCCCCUUGCACUAAUGCUCUAACACUACGCUGAGUGACUCGGAGCAGCCCCCAGAUGUAGAUCUGACAAGGCCGCCUCUUGACAGUGACCCCGCUAGGCGUUUCAUGGACCCGGCUGGCUCUGCACUGCUUUGGGAGGGAAAAGCAAACAGAAAAACAGCUGCCUUUGUUUCCAGAAGUGGUCCUGCACCUAUUGAGACUGACAGUUCUAGGGAUACGGCAGGGAACAAGACGAGGUUUGCUAUUCGUGGAAUUCACCUCUUAAUGGAGAAAGACAGACCACAGACAAGCAAAUAACUAUCAAUAAACAAGAGUUCCUGUGGCUCCACAUCCUUACCAGCAUUUAAUGUUGGCAGCACUCUGGAUUUUGGCCAUUCUGAUAGCGUUCCUCAUGACAUCAGGCAAGCACCUGACUGAUCCAUAAGAGACUAGAGCUAGUGGGAGUUUCGACAAUUGGUCCACAAACAGAGGACUCCCAGGUUCAUCUGGACUAAAGUCAGAGACACCUUCAAACACCUGAGGGAACCAGUUCUGGGGAUGCAGUCUGGGAAUGGGUUGGCUUAGAAUCAAGCUGAGCAAUAGGGCAUUGUUGUGAUUGGGUCGAAUUGUGUUCCUUAAAAAGAUAUGACUUAGCCUCUGAAUCUGAAUGGUAGUAGGGUCUUUGCAGAUGUAAUCAAGCUAAAAUGAGGUCAUAAUGGAUUAAAGUGGGCCUUAGUCCAAUGAUUGGUAUUCUUAUAAGAAGGGGAAAUUUGAACAUAGAGAAGGCCAUGUCAAGACGAAGUUAGCGACUGACAUGAUGCGUCUACAAGCCAAAGAUUGCCAACAACCAUGAGAGGCUGGGAAGAGGCAAAGAAGAAUGCUCUCCCAGAGCCUUCAGCAAGACCAUGGCCCCACUACCCACUUGAUUCCUGGCUUCUAGCCUCCAGAAAUGUGAGAGAAUAAAUUUCUUGUGCUUAAAAUCACCCAGUUUGUGGUAUUUUGUUAGAGCAGCCCGAGGAGACUAAUACAGGCACCUCCUCCUUUACCAAACAAUAGCAAUGGUUGGUGUUGGGGGAUAAAAAUAAUGGACAAGUUCUCAGACUCUCUCAUCUCUUUGAGGGUCCUGGCUCCACUCUCCUUGGUCUCUCCCGAGCCCCUCCUCUGAGGAAAGGAGCGUCGCUCUAUCAGCCAUUCUUGAGAUACAACUCAGGGGAAGAGAGGAGGGCAUGGAAAACGGCCAAGGGCAGGAGAGGCUGAGAGCCGGUGGAGAGCAGAGGCAUCUGCGGCAGGUGAGAGCGAUGGCGAGAGAAGGCAGAAAGAGAAGUGUGAGAAGCACUGAGAAUCUCACACUGCCACUGAGAGAAAUCAAAAGCAUUGCUGAGGAUUGUGUGUUCACUUAGCGAUGAGAAAUGCAAGUGAAAGACGAGUUAUUUUUAAAUUACUUUUGGUUUCAUGGGCUCUUGGCAGAACGGGAGCUCCAGCACGAAACGGAGCCAUGUGGACUGAGGCCCCAAGAGCUUUCCUGCCUCCUCAUCAAAUGCUUUCUGCCCACCAAGCCCUGCUAAGUGCUUGGCAGAAAUGCCUCCUCUCCUCCUCACAGCAACCCCACAGAGAGAGGCUGAUUUAAAUGAUAAAAGUGAGGCCGGUGAGCAUUCGUUAAAUGGGCAAGUUCAAAAAGCUUAGAGCUCAGAGCUAGAAGCAGGCAGGGGUUUCAGGGCAGCACUUGCAGCUGGCGACCAACCCUGCACCUGGUCUGCACCCUUAGCACAGCCUUGCCUGCUAGAAUAAUGGCGGCUUUGUUUCCCUCAAGGAGAUGAUAUGAGCAUGUGUUACUGACAUGAAGCCCAGCUAGGCAAGGGGGCAGAGGUGGUGGCUAUGGAAUGGGAUCUGGAGCGUAACUGCCAGAGUCGUCCCCCUGCGCCCAGCUCUGCCUCUUUCUGGCUGUAGGAGCCUGUUAUCUUACUCC